UACAGAGGGGCAAGCGUUAUUCGGAAUUAUUGGGCGUAAAGGGCGCGUAGGCGGCCUGGCAAGUGGAAGGUGAAAUCCCUCGGCUUAACCGAGGAACUGCCCUCCAAACUGCUUGGCUUGAGUCCGGGAGAGGUGAGGUGGAAUUCCCAGUGGUAGCGGUGAAAUGCGUAGAUAUUGGGAGGAACACCAGUGGCGAAGGCGGCUCACUGGACCGGAACUGACGCUGAGGCGCGAAAGCGUGGGGAGCAAACGGGG
rnacentral:rRNA from 1 species